rnacentral:rRNA from 1 species
GCCUACGGGAGGCAGCAGUAGGGAAUUUUCGUCAAUGGGCGCAAGCCUGAACGAGCAAUGCCGCGUGAACGAGGAAGGUCUUCGGAUCGUAAAGUUCUGUUGCAGGGGAAAAAGAGCGGAGAGAGGAAAUGCUUUCUGAUUGAUAUUACCCUUCGAGGAAGUCACGGCUAACUACGUGCCAGCAGCCGCGGUAAUACGUAGGUGGCGAGCGUUAUCCGGAAUGAUUGGGCGUAAAGGGUGCGUAGGCGGCCUGCUAAGUCUGGAGUGAAAGGUACCGGCUCAACCGGUACAGGCUCUGGAAACUG